rnacentral:rRNA from 1 species
UACGUAGGGUCCGAGCGUUGUCCGGAAUUAUUGGGCGUAAAGGGCUCGUAGGCGGUUUGUCGCGUCGGGAGUGAAAACUCGGGGCUUAACCCCGAGCCUGCAGUGGAUACGGGCAGACUAGAGGUAGGUAGGGGAGAAUGGAAUUCCCGGUGUAGCGGUGAAAUGCGCAGAUAUCGGGAGGAACACCGGUGGCGAAGGCGGUUCUCUGGGCCUUACCUGACGCUGAGGAGCGAAAGCGUGGGGAGCGAACAGG